rnacentral:rRNA from 1 species
ACGGGUUACAGUUUACUGUAAUUGUCAGCUAAGUGGCGCACGGGUGAGUAAUAUAUAGUUAACCUGCCCCAAAGAAGAGAAUAAUUGUUGGAAACGACUUGUAAUGCUCUAUAUGCCUUUAUCACAUAAGUGAGCAAGGGAAAUAUUUAUAGCUUUGGGAUGGGACUGUACGGUAUCAGUUUGUUGGUGAGGUAAUGGCUCACCAAGACUAUGACGCCUAACUGGUUUGAGAGGAUGAUCAGUCACACUGGAACUGAGACACGGUCCAGACUCCUACGGGAGGCAGCAGUGGGGAAUAUUGCACAAUGGACGAAAGUCUGAUGCAGCAACGCCGCGUGGAGGAUGACACAUUUCGGUGCGUAAACUCCUUUUAUUAGGGAAGAUAAUGACGGUACCUAAUGAAUAAGCACCGGCUAACUCCGUGCCAGCAGCCGCGGUAAUACGGGGGGUGCAAGCGUUACUCGGAAUCACUGGGCGUAAAGAGCAUGUAGGCUGGUUUGUAAGUUGGAAGUGAAAUCCUAUGGCUUAACCAUAGAACUGCUUCCAAAACUGCAGACCUAGAGUAUGGGAGAGGUAGAUGGAAUUUCUGGUGUAGGGGUAAAAUCCGUAGAGAUCAGAAGGAAUACCGAUUGCGAAGGCGAUCUACUGGAUCAUUACUGACACUGAGGAACGAAAGCAUGGGUAGCGAAGAGGAUUAGAUG